rnacentral:tRNA from 1 species
GGAAAGAUGGCUGAGUGGCCGAAAGCACAUCCCUGCUAAGGAUGCGUACCUUUACGGGUACCGGGGGUUCGAAUCCCCCUCUUUCCGACA